rnacentral:rRNA from 1 species
UACGUAGGGUGCAAGCGUUGUUCGGAAUCACUGGGCGUAAAGAGAGCGUAGGCGGGAUUGUAAGUUAGGAGUUUAAUGCAUGGGCUCAACCCAUGAACUGCUCUUAAUACUGCAAUUCUUGAGUAUGGGAGAGGACGAUGGAAUUCCAGGUGUAGCGGUGGAAUGCGUAGAUAUCUGGAAGAACACCAGUAGCGAAGGCGGUCGUCUGGCCUAAUACUGACGCUGAGGCUCGAAAGCUAGGGGAGCAAACAGG